rnacentral:rRNA from 1 species
UUGUUGAUUAUACCCGUACCGUAAACCGACACAGGUAGAUGAGGAGAAAAUCCACAGGCCGACGGGAGAAGUGUUGUUAAGGAACUCGGCAAAAUGACCCCGUAACUUAGGGAUAAGGGGAGCCAACGAGAGUUGGUCACUGAAAAGAGGCUCACGCAACUGUUUAGCAAAAACAUAGGUCUCUGCGAAACCGUAAGGUGAAGUAUAGGGGCUGACACCUGCCCGGUGCUGGAAGGUCAAAAGGAGAGGUUAGCGCAAGCGAAGCUUUGAAUUCAAGCCCCAGUAAACGGCGGCCGUAACGAUAACGGUCCUAAGGUAGCGAAAUUCCUUGUCAGGUAAGUUCUGACCCGCACGAAAGGUGUAAUGAUGUGAGCACUGUCUCGACAACACGCCCGGUGAAAUUGAAGAGCUAGUGAAGAUACUAGCUGCCCGCAAUAGGACGGAAAGACCCCAUGGAGCUUUACUGCAAUCUAAUACUGGGAUUCGAUGAUGUAUGUACAGGAUAGGAGGGAGACUGAGAAGAUAGGACGCCAGUCUUGUCGGAGUCGACGGUGGGAUACCUCUCUUAUAUCAUUGAAUUUCUAACCCUGUUCCGUAAUCCGGGAGGGGGACAAUGUUAGGUGGGCAGUUUGACUGGGGCGGUCGCCUCCUAAAGAGUAACGGAGGCGCUCGAAGGUCACCUCAGAAUGAUUGGAAACCAUUCAAAGAGUGUAAAGGCAAAAGGUGGCUUGACUGCGAGGUCGACGGACCGAGCAGGUACGAAAGUAGUACUUAGUGAUCCGGUGGUAAUAAGUGGGAAUGCCAUCGCUCAACGGAUAAAAGCUACCCUGGGGAUAACAGGCUUAUCUCCCCCAAGAGUUCACAUCGACGGGGAGGUUUGGCACCUCGAUGUCGGCUCAUCGCAUCCUGGGGCUGAAGUCGGUCCCAAGGGUUGGGCUGUUCGCCCAUUAAAGCGGUACGCGAGCUGGGUUCAGAACGUCGUGAGACAGUUCGGUCCCUAUCCGUUGUGGGAGUAGGAAAUUUGAGAGGAGCUGUCCUUAGUACGAGAGGACCGGGAUGGACGAACCACUGGUGGACCAGUUGCAUACCAAAUGCACAGCUGGGUAGCCAAGUUUGGAACGGAUAAACUCUGAAGGCAUCUAAGCGUGAAGCCGCCCUCAAUACAAGAUUUCCCAUCACUAUAAGUGAGUAAGACCCCUUGAAGACUACAAGGUUGAUAGGUCAGAGGUGUAAGUGCAGUAAUGUAUUUAGCUGACUGAUACUAAUAGGUCGAGGGCUUGACC